rnacentral:rRNA from 1 species
UUAAGUCAGGCAACGAGCAAGACCCGUGCCCACAGUUGCCAGCAUACCCUCCGGGGUGAUGGGCACACUGUGGGGACCGCCGCUGCUAAAGCGGAGGAAGGUGCGGGCUACGGUAGGUCAGUAUGCCCCGAAUCAUCCGGGCUACACGCGGGCUACAAUGGUUGGGACAAUGGGCACCUACACCGAAAGGUGAUGGUAAUCUCCUAAACCCAGCCUUAGUUCGGAUUGAGGGCUGCAACUCGCCCUCAUGAAGCCGGAAUCCGUAGUAAUCGCGUAUCAAUAUCACGCGGUGAAUACGUCCCUGCUCCUUGCACA